rnacentral:rRNA from 1 species
GGCUUGUUGAUUAUAAUUUCAAGUYUGACCUGCCCACUGAGGAAUUAAAUGGCCGCGGUAUACUGACCGUGCAAAGGUAGCAUAAUCAUUAGUUUUUUAAUUAAAAGCUAGAAUGAAAGGUUUGAUGAGAAAAAUACUGUCUCUGUUGGAAUUUAUUAGAAUUUUAUUUUUAAGUAAAAAAGCUUAAAUAUAUAUAGAAGACGAGAAGACCCUAUAGAGUUUUAUAUUCAAUUAAGGGGUUAGUUUUGAGGAAUAAAAGCUGGAGCUUUAAUUUAGUAUUUUGUUGGGGUGGUAGAAAAAUUAGAAUAACUUUUUUUAUAUAAAGACAUUUAUUUGUGAUUAGAUGAUCCUAAAAUUUAGAUUAUAAGAUUAAAUUACCUUAGGGAUAACAGCGUAAUUUUUUUUAGAGUUCUUAUCGAAAAAAAAGAUUGCGACCUCGAUGUUGGAUUAAAAUUAAUUAUUGGUGUAGAAGCUAAUAGAUUAGGUCUGUUCGACCUUUAAAAUUUUACAUGAUCUGAGUUUAAACCGGSGKGRG